UUUACUGAAGAUUUAUCAUCAUCAUCUUCGAGUUCGAAACUUCAGUAUGGCUUUAUUAAUGUUCUUUUUCAUUUUUCAACAAAAUAAUAAAUUAAACAAAAAUGAUGCGGCCCAUUUGUUCCUCAUGUUUGUGGUCUUACAAAAUUCAGGGUCGACACUGGCACUAUAGCCUUUGUUUCUGUUGAGGAUUCUUCGCCGACCUUAGACAGCCCUCAAGCUUUAUGCUAUGUCACACACACACCAAACAUCAUAACAGACCAAGCAAUAUAGAGAGAAAGAAGAAGAUAAAACAGAGCAGAGAAGAGGGAAGAAGAGAAGCACACAAACGAUUGUUCACCCUGAGUUCACCAAGUUGGCUACAUCUCAGGGGAGGGAGACUGUCCCCCAACUGCAUCCACUAAUAGAAGAAGAUAACAGAGAUUACAAGUGAUUCACUCUCAAGACUCACUCGUCGGCCACUCUCUGUUCUACUUGAGAAAAUCCCACCCAAAGCUUAAGCCUUUACAUGUUUUCUCUCACCCUUCUAUCUCCUAGAGCUACAUUGUGUCUAUCUUCUUGUGGCUUCCUAUCUCUCAUGUCUUCAUAUCACUUUAUAUAUGGGAGACAACCUCAAACCCUAGUGCAGCUAGCAAACGAGUCCUCAUCUUAUUCACAAGAGGACAAAGUAUCCUUCUUGACCAUGAAUUCAAAUGAUCCUCCUUGUGGUCCCAAAAGCUCUUCUAACUUUAGUUAAUAUAAUCAACCUUGGUUAGGACUUGAGUUUACCUUUGGUUUGCACAUGAUCCUUGUUUGGUUGCUCAUCAAGUUCUCAUAUCUUCACAAAUCUCCACCUGAGAACAUGAUGAUCAAAACCAAGCAACCUGCACAAACUUGAGAGAGUACCUUCUUCUACUUUCUUGGAUCCCAAUCUCGGCUCUUGAGUAUCAUUACUCUGCCUUGAUACUUAGCAGUUUAAAAUGCCAUAAACUUGCUUGAUCCUCGCUGCAUUUAGCUUACGUUCAAUGCACUUCAGCUGUGACUACUCACAUUGCUGAACCUGAGCCAUCAACACAUCCUUAGAUCACCAGAGUUGUGAAAACCAGCUUCAUACAAACUUGUAUUAAGCUCAACUCUUCAGUGAUCACUUCAUGAUACAUUCAACACUUGAAUUAUGAUGUUACCACUCAGCAAAAAUUUAUUAACAAGUCAAGAAAACACCUCCAGCUUGUCAAUCUCAACAGAAAACUCCAUAAGCUCCACCACCUAUGAGCUGUUCAAUCACACAUUCUCCACCACGGCUUCUGUUAAUGCCAUAAGCAUGUUACAGUGAUUGAAGUACCACUUAUCCCUCUGCAAAACCUGAUUCCCUUGCUAAAGCUUCUAGGAUUUACUCAUGCGCAUUGAGAUCAAAAUCCUUUGAAUUCACUUGAAUCAAUUGCAGAAAACUGAAUCAACUUAGCCUCAGACUUGAAGCUCUUGAUUCACCAGGUGAACAGCCUCACCAACCAGCUAAAUAUACACUAUAUAGCUAUAGACUGAACCUUUCACCUCCUGUUUAAACAACCCAGUCUUGAACAUAAACCUUGAUCAAACUCUCUGUUAAAACAGAACCACCACCAGCAGAUUUUAACCACUACUAGUUAUCUUUACACCUGUCUCAUAUCAGCAAAACCUUGUGAUAUCCCUGAGACAAACAUGUACAGCUACUUCUGCACCAAAUCUAGAACCCUUGGUGCCCUUCCAGUUGUAACCACAGACCUGCAAAACCUGCAGAACUCCACCAAACGACUUGAACCUUACCUCAUUCAAUUUCAAGACUUAAGCCAAAGCCUUUCCCUUCUUUAUCAUCAAUACUUGAAGAUACUUUACUUGAAUGACCUGCAAGCGUCUGGUCAAAUGCAAUUUGAAUUUCCUGCAUUUGCGUCUCUUCUAAGACUCCAUUUCAGUUGCUAACACCAGCCUUGAGAUGAGUUGUUUAUCAAGCUUGAUACACAACACUUUCACAGUCUUGAAGUGAAUAGCCUUGAGACAGCUCCUGCAACACUUGCAAUUGUCUCUUUCAGUUUCCUCCUUAGAGAAUUCCCCUGAACCACUUCAUUUUCUUCAUCUCACACCUUAGUGUCUUCUCUGAAAUUUUCAGAAAAAAACCUGCAACUCACUUUCAGAAAAUCCACAGUUCACAACUUGAAACCUGCAACUUGUUUCUGAAAUCCUUACCAAUCAGCCAGCUUCAAACCAAAUAUGUAAGACCCUUUUUUUACCUUCAGAUUAUAACCCAAUCUGAGCUGAACACCUGUUGAUAACCACCUGUUCUUGGCUUUCCCUUCUUCUUGAUACAAUGAACUUCCAUGAACCUUAAACAACAGUGAUAUCCAGCCUUUUAACUCCAUGCUACUGAGCUAAACACCCAGACAACCUCCACAAAUAGCUCCACCAGGAACCAUAACCAUUUGAGUUACAAUGUCUAUGUAAGCUCAGCCUCACUUCUCUGAGUUAAACUGUUCUUCUGUUCACUCACACUUUCUUAUGUAUUAGAGUGAGUUCCCAUGGCCUCUUUCUUGAGAAAACCGUACUAUAACUUGUAGCACAUCUUCUUCUUCAUGUAACCACUCCAUCUUAUUCAUAUGUACCCAAAGAACCACCAAGAACCUUCUUUUAUUUCCAGCAGCCUUGUCAUCUCUACUUGGAGCAUUCUUCAUAAUCUAAUAGUGCAACAACUUAAGCUGAUACGCCAUCAAAUCAUACCUCCAUCCUAGAAAACCAAAUCUUGUACUCUUCUUUAGCAAAAUCAACAUAUACAUAUCUUGCAUCGCUGUUCAAAUGAAUAGAACACGCCGCCUAACUCUCCUAGCUAGGAAGAAUUUCGACACGAGAAAAUAAUACGGUCAAUUGCGUACCAUCAUAUACUUCUUUUGUCGCUUGAAGAUCUGAUUCAAAACACAAGAUAACCACUGAGAAUUAAAUGCUCCACCCGAGAUAAGAACUCCUUGUUCUCUUACAUUCAUUCCAACAGAAUCAUCAUGUGUUAUACCAAACACAAAUCUGUAGAAUUUAUGAAUCUUUGCUACUGCCAUCUUGUCUCGAAAACAAGAACUCUUACGCUAUCCAGCUUACACCAAACAGUAGAUUUCCGGAGCCACACUGCAUUCCCUCUGAAAAUAGCAGCCUUGUAGCUUCACGAUCUCUAAAGAUCCACCAACUGAAGACUUUUAGAUUCACAAGAAUCUAACCAUUACCACUGAGACAGAACUCUGCAACAAAUCAUCACCCAAACUCAACCAACCACUGAAGUCUUGUCUUUAGAACUGAAUCCAGAAAACCCUUUUACAAAUACCCCACAGCCUAAUACUCAUAAAAAUUUCCAAGCUUCUAAGGCGUCCCUCAGUCCCAUGGAAUUCUAUGAGUUUCCGAGGCUGUGGUAACACUAGUAUUCGAAUACCAACUGUAAAAGACUGUACCAACCAGAUUCAAAACUCCAUGAAAAAACCAGCAUGAAACCCAAUACUGAAUCUUUUCAAUCUCUUGCGAUAACAGUGGAACGAGACUUGAAGCCUCCAAAUUUUGAGUCUUGAGAAAUAAGAAUGAUUCUGAUCCAAAGAUUGUAGUCAAAGAAAUCCGACUUACACGUUUCAAGGAUCUUAAUCAAACUUCAGCCGAUGAUGUUACUGUCUCUCUUCCUUUCCAAACAAGAGUAAACGAAGACACAAACUUGUGGCAUCGUCUUUCUUACUCACUGUAACCUCCAAUUUCUUUACAGAAAAUCAGAAUUUCUGGAUUUACCGGAAGAUAUCCGAGCCUUGCAAGCUCCAGUCUUCAAAUUUCUUUAGCUAAUUUGAGCUCCUUUCUUCUCGAGAACACUUUCUUCUUCAAUCGUCACUUCCUCCUCCGACGAGAAUCUCGAUAUGGUUUACCGAUCCAUCUUCGACUUCAUCGCCGAACCUAAUCGCUCCCAGUCAUAAAACCUCAACUUACGAUUUGACGAUUGCUUAUGUCGUGACUGUCUCUUAGCUUCAGCUUCAACACUUCCGAGAAAGAAGCAUCAAGAGAAACGUACCAUUGUUUCUCUUUCUGACUUUUGGGCAUUUAUGAACUUAGCCCAAAAAACAAAAUAUUCAUUAAUGGGAGGACAGGCCCAUCUUGGCCCAACUGAAGAAAGAAAAAAGAAUUUGUCGUGACCCAUCUUUUCUCUUCUUCUCACCGUCGCUCACCAUCAAACUUUCUCCGGUGAGAAUCUCGGUGCUCUCCGGUGACGCCUUGGUCACCACACCUCCGCGACUCUCUCUCACCGCGUGUCUCUUCCUCGACAGCGAAACCCGAAGCUUCUUCUCCGACUCGUUCUGCUUAUGACAGUGCCGUCUGCUCUUUCACGACGUCAUCGGAAGCUCGAGCCACUCCACCGUAAUCUCAGCCUUCUCCGGUAAGAAUCUCCACACUGUCUCUGUCAUCGAACUCUCUGAGAAUCACCUGAGCUCGUGACAAACAUCCUCUGUUAGCAUCCGAGAUUUCAACAGAAAUCUCUAUCUUCCUCCAUCUUCUCUCUCAAUGCUUCAGCAGAUCUAGUUCUUCUUAGAUGGACAAGACACGCCGUCUUCUUAUGAGAUAUAAUCUCUAAAUCCAUCGUUCUUCUCUAGAGCUGCACUUCCCGAAGCCAUUGCUUAUAAAGGUGUGAUCUUUCUUGACAAAGCUUACAUUUUCCUUGUAAAGCUUGAAUCUUUCUCACCGAAACUUGAAGAUUCUGGAUAAAGCUUGAGUCUUUCAGCACUAACCUGUGCUCUGAUACCAUUUGUUAAGGAUUCUUCGCCGACCUUAGACAGCCCUCAAGCUUUAUGCUAUGUCACACACACACCAAACAUCAUAACAGACCAAGCAAUAUAGAGAGAAAGAAGAAGAUAAAACAGAGCAGAGAAGAGGGAAGAAGAGAAGCACACAAACGAUUGUUCACCCUGAGUUCACCAAGUUGGCUACAUCUCAGGGGAGGGAGACUGUCCCCCAACUGCAUCCACUAAUAGAAGAAGAUAACAGAGAUUACAAGUGAUUCACUCUCAAGACUCACUCGUCGGCCACUCUCUGUUCUACUUGAGAAAAUCCCACCCAAAGCUUAAGCCUUUACAUGUUUUCUCUCACCCUUCUAUCUCCUAGAGCUACAUUGUGUCUAUCUUCUUGUGGCUUCCUAUCUCUCAUGUCUUCAUAUCACUUUAUAUAUGGGAGACAACCUCAAACCCUAGUGCAGCUAGCAAACGAGUCCUCAUCUUAUUCACAAGAGGACAAAGUAUCCUUCUUGACCAUGAAUUCAAAUGAUCCUCCUUGUGGUCCCAAAAGCUCUUCUAACUUUAGUUAAUAUAAUCAACCUUGGUUAGGACUUGAGUUUACCUUUGGUUUGCACAUGAUCCUUGUUUGGUUGCUCAUCAAGUUCUCAUAUCUUCACAGUUUCAAUUAUGUUCGAUUAGGUAGAGACUUUGCCAUAAACAGUUGAUCCAAAACCUUGAACAUACCUAAGGUUGGCUUAUCCUUUAUGAUUUUUUUUAUGAAGUUGCACUCCAAAACUUAAUAUGAUGGUAACUCUAGACUUUCAUUGCUUCUUCUUUAGAGCUUAAUUUGUCUUCUUUUUUUACUUGAUGUGUCCCUUGUCAUGUCUUAGCCAUCUAGAGUCUUCUGAGUUAACUCUUUGCUUUGUCUUGCGUUUAAUUUUUUUUUCUCUUUUCUUGUAC
rnacentral:lncRNA from 1 species